AGAGCGAACGCUGGCGGCAGGCUUAACACAUGCAAGUCGAGCGGGCGUAGCAAUACGUCAGCGGCAGACGGGUGAGUAACGCGUGGGAACGUACCUUUUGGUUCGGAACAACCCAGGGAAACUUGGGCUAAUACCGGAUAAGCCCUUACGGGAAAGAUUUAUCGCCGAAAGAUCGGCCCGCGUCUGAUUAGCUAGUUGGUGAGGUAAUGGCUCACCAAGGCGACGAUCAGUAGCUGGUCUGAGAGGAUGAUCAGCCACAUUGGGACUGAGACACGGCCCAAACUCCUACGGGGGGCAGCAGUGGGGAAUCUUGCGCAAUGGCCUAACGGCUGACGCAGCGACGCCGCGUGUGGGAUGAAGCUCCUCGGAGUGUAAACCACUGUUGCCCGGGACGAAUAGCUCGAUUAAUCGAGCCUGGACGGUACCGGGUGAGGAAGCGACCGGCUAACUCCGUGCCAGCAGCCGC
rnacentral:rRNA from 1 species